CAAAGGGGGUCUUGGUGCUCAGCUUCUCUGCUUCCCCGCCGGGCUUCCUAGGGCUCGGGAGCUUUCUCAUCCAUGGAUUGAGAUCUGAUCCUCUGACGCCUGGAGUCACUCACCUUCCGGGAGCGUCGCUUCGGACUGGCACUUGACUGGCAGCGUGUGCCUAAGUAUAAUAUAUCCACAUUAACAUAAGUCUCAAAAAAGAUGUCUGUUUAUUGUGAUAAGCAUGCAUACAAGAAUGAAAAGGAAAAUCCUAUCCCAGAACUGCAAACAUAGCUUGAAAGAAUUGAGAGAGAUUGACACCCGAGCCAUCUCUGGAGAGACUGAUGUGAUGGACACAAGAGACUGGCUGAAAAGAAAGAUGAAAACUAGAAACAUUUGCUUUUUGAUCAACUCUGGGCUUUCUAAGGACCAUCAGCAGGGUAAGUAAUUUUGGCAAAACUUACUGUGCUUCAUGGGUCAAUCUGACCUUUGCAACUGUUCCUUUUCUACCUCAAUCCAUUUGUAUGCCCACCAGAUGAGUCCCUGUUCUGAGAGAACCUGAAGAAGUACAGCAGGGAGGCACUAAUCAUUUAUUGGUUAACAAAUGAUACACUUUGGGUUAAUUAUACUUAUGCUGUGAUUUUACCUUUUACUUCUUGCAUCUGAACCAGCAAUAGUAUAGAAUACUUUUCCCUAGUACUUUCCUGGUGCCUGGAGCACCAGAAAAAUCAUUCAUGGGUUACUUUCACUAUUUGUCUCUGAUACAUUGUUUUAAUUAUGCUGAACAGGAACUAUGGUCUUAUCCUCAGCCAGGGCAAUUGUAUUAUCCUUACUGAUCACAAGGUUACUGUAAGGAAUGGCACCAAGAAUGGAGGAGAGCUUAAACAAGCUUUAUUUGGGUACGCUCCAGGGGGACGUUCACUGGUCCGAGAGAAAGGGGCCAGAGAAGUCG